GCCAGGUGCAACUCAAUUUGGAAAGGCAAUCAUUUAUCUUUCAUAUUUUCCUUUUUCUUGGAAUGAUUGUAAUAAUAUAUAUAAGUGGUGGUUGCCUCUGUUGCUUGAUUCAUUAUUAGUGAUUUCUAGAGUAGUGACUGAGCUGGGAAAAUAUUUCUUCUGGUGUUGUUUUAAGAUCAAUUAUUACUGCAUGUAAUUUUCUUUUGAUAUUUGAAUUUCGAUAACUGCAGUGUUUAAAUUGUUAUACUUGAUUUUAAGUUGCGUAUGUGUGCUGCUGAAAACAAUAACUGUACAAUGUGAAUUUAAAGGGUGUUUGUCUUAACUUAUAAG
rnacentral:misc_RNA from 1 species